rnacentral:lncRNA from 1 species
GGGAGUCUUGCUCAAGCAAUUUUAGAGGAAUAGCUCUAAAAUAAGUGGCUUUCCCAGGAUCAAAGGCAGAGCCAUUUUGCUGAAGGUGACAAUGGAGUGAGCCAUGCAAGAGGACAAUUCUGGGCACCAACAAUCCGAUUGCUGAUCCUUCAAGUGUGCAUGUGCAGCUGGCUUUUGCUUUCCUAGCUGAUCCUGCUGAAAUUAGUGAAAAGCAGUGCUGGGUUAACAGUUGGACUCAAAAUCUUUGAGGUCUUUUCCAACCUUAAGGAUUAUGUGAAUCUUUUGAGCUGAGGAGAGCGCUAGGAUCUGUUUUAAUCCGCACUGGCCAAUGCAGCCCUGGCUGGUGAGGAAUGUGACACCAGUGAUCCAGGUGUCACAAGGAACUCCUGAUGCUGCCUCUCCCUCCCUUCCCAAGCCUGUGGCAGCACCUUUCCUGGGAUGUGAGGGGAUUUAUUUUGGAGGCAGAGAGGAGAGGAAAACCGACUUGUCAGGAAAUUUGGCUGGACUUGUUUGAGUGAGGCUGACUGGAAAACAGCUGUGUGUGCACGGAGCAGAGACUGCACCCCUGCACUGCCAGGGUGGGAUGGCAGGAAAGCCCUUUUGCUUUUUCUCUGGGGUUUUUUGGUGUUUUUUGUUUGUUUGUUUGUUUUUAAGAAACAGAAAUACAAGACCUGAUUGGCAGCCUGGGAGGAGAAACCUGAGGUGCCUGAGGGCCUGGACUCAUGGGAGCAUCCCAAAACACUUGUCAGUCCCUGGAGGUGUCUGUUACCCCAACAAGUGCCAGUCCUCAUGGAGCUGAUUCAGAACAAAGCUGCAGAGCAGGUGUUGGAAGGGUCAGGUAUCUGUGUUUAUCUGUGGUGAUCCCUGUUUUUUGUCUGUUGGGUGCUGGUGGGAGCACAACUGGGCCAUCGAGCCCUGCGGAUGAACCUUGACCUGUUCUGGGAUGUGCUCUUGGAUCAGGAACCCCACUCUGGCCACGAGGCUUUGCAUCACUGGAUGUGAUCCCUCUGGAGGUGCUGCCAGACCAUUGAGUGCUCCAUCCCUGCCCUCCAGACACCCUCUUCCUGGAGGAAAGUCGGCAGCUUUGGGUUUAUUCCAUCUUUUCAGCCAUGCCAAAGCCUAUUUAAUACCAGGUUUGCUGUGGGUUUGUUUGGGUUUGGUCCCACAAACGCCUCUGGGGCAGGUCAAUGCAUCCCCCAAGCCACCCUUUGGCUGUGCCUUUGGAGUUUGCAAAAUCUCUGUUCUGCCUGAAAAAGCAUCAGGGAAUAUUAUUGAUAAACAAUAG